rnacentral:rRNA from 1 species
GGGUUAACCUCUCAGUCCCCCUAUGUAUCGUCGCCUUGGUGAGCCGUUACCCCACCAACCAGCUAAUACAACGCAUGCCCAUCUCUAACCAUCGGAAUUUUCAACCAUAAAAGAUGCCUUCUAUGAUAUUAUGGGGUAUUAGUACCAAUUUCUCAGUGUUAUCCCCCUGUUAAAGGUAGGUUGC